UGGCUCAGUUCAGCAGAAACCG
rnacentral:miRNA from 1 species